AACCAGCCAUGACGACGCGAACACUAGCGCCCACUCGGCAGCGACGCUCCACGACGAGAUGGGGAAACACGAGCACCGCACCAGCUUGGCAAAACUGGGAAGACCUGGGCUGGCAAAAGAGCUGGAAAAGCCGUGCUCCGCCCACCGCGCACGCGUAGCCACCCCGGCCACUUCCGCCGCCUCCCAGCACGCAAGCGCAGCCCCCACUUCUCCCCGCCCACCGAGGGUGGGUAGCUAGCAGGCUCACGCGGUUCCCCGUUCGCGCCGUCGCAGUCCAAUCAGCGUGGAUCGGAAGCCACUAAGUUCCGCCUUCUAGGCUUCCUCGUCGCUUUAUUAGCUAGCGUCAAAAUUGGUGAGUUGAGGUCUAAGCUUGUGGGUGCUUCCCGGCAACCAGUGACACCUGGGCAAAACUGAAGGACUCUGUACCUGGUUGGUCCAUAAGAAAGAAGUUGAGACUGUGGAGCGUCUUCUCUCCAAGCAGUCUGUCCUUGCGUCUCCUAACUGGAGGCUACCACUGCUCAGUCUCUGCCCAGCACGGAAGCAGCUCACCUCCAGGGGUCUCAAUCCCACCUCUUUCUUCUGUCAUUCCUGGUCCUCAAGAGCCCCUGUUGAGCACUGCCCAGGUCCACUUGGCUCUCUGACUGACCCCCUUUGGCGAUGGUAGCAGAUGCUGUUGGUGUCCAUCUGAGACCACCUGCAGCUGCAGUAGACAGUUUCCAACUUGCUGAUGGAGCCCCACCCCAAGCACCUGUGUCUUCUCUCUGUGGUUCUCAAAACAGAUUCUUCACCAUUUUCAUGUUUUCGAAAAUCAAUUAUUUACAAAGUCUUUGCUCCCAUGCAUGUAUAUGCUCUAUAUGUUUGCUGUUCUUUCAGCAGUGACCUUAGCCAGGGGUGGUGGUGAAAGUGGAAAUGUAUUGAGGCUAGAUUUCUACCCUAGGUGCUGUGUGUGUGUGUGUGUGUGUGUGUGUGUGUGUAAAUCAGCUUUUUUUCCCCCUUUCUUUCUUUUUUUUUUUUUUUAAUUUGGCCUCACUGUGUGACAUGUGUGAUCUUAGUUCCCCAACCAGGGAUUGAACCCGGGCCCCACAGUGAAAGCACCACGUCCUAAUCACUGGACCACCAGAAAAUUCCCACCUUUCUUUUUUUAUUUAAAAAAAAAAGCACGCCUAUGGUUAGAAAAUAUGUAUAUCAAGCAGCACACAGACCCAUUCAGACUCGUAGUCUCAUUCCCCGGAAGCAACAACUAUUGCCAAAUUUCUGAUGUAUUCUUUCAGAAAUAGUCCAAGUAAAAGAGCACAAGUAUCUAAUAUAGAUUCCCUUUUUUUUACAUAAAGGAGAGUAUAAUAUACACUUUAAAUUUCACCAUAUAUAUUGGGGUUCACUCCAAAUAGAGCUAUUUUACUUUUUUUCCCAUAAAAAUGUUCUGUUGUUUAGAAAUGCCAUAAUUUACUUAACCUAUCCCUUUUGGACAUUUGGGUUGUUUAACUCAUUUGCUAUCACAAACAACUCUGCUUUGAACAUCCUUAUAUACAUAUUUUGUAUAAGUACACUUUUGUCAACACUGAAGAUUAUCAAUAUCUUGUCUUUUGAAAAUUGGUAGGUAACAAAGAAUAUUUUCUUAUUUCAAUUUGCAUUUCUUAUAUCUUAAGUUGGAUGUUUUUAUAUGUUUAUCAAACUAUUGAUAUUUCUUUUUCAGUAAACUGCCUGUGUUGCAGCAAAAAUAGAAAUGAAGUUUUCCCUCCUCUGAGAACAAGGAAGAUAAAGGGAACCGUGAACAGGCUAGGGAGGAAACAUAACCUGGCCUGAAAGAGUUAAUCACUCCUUGGUUUACUUUAACUGUCACUAAUUUGUAGUAACUAGAUUUGUACUUUACAAAGCUAACCUCACUCCCUGACACUAUGAAAUUUACAUUCGGCACCUGUCACCCCUAACUCUGUGUGAGUUAUAUCCCGUGCUUCUCACUCCCUAUUAUGUCCUGGCACUUACAUUCUAUACGCCCCUGGUAACAAAUCACCCCCUAUAGUUUUUGCAUUUCAGAAACAAAGUCACCGGCCGAUAAACCAGAGGCAAACGGACACAAUUACCAAACUGCCGGACCCCAAUUACCAGGCAGCCUAACGCCAGCUAUGACUGUUUUGAAAUAAUGCAAAGGGAAGGAAGAAUGCAAGACCUUUGAUCCUUAUCAUAUACUCCAGACUUCGAGCCCCACAUAUAAAAUCCCUGUUUCCCAAGGAGUGGAGGCACAGUUCUUGAGGCCCUAGCCGCGCUAGCCUGCUGUGUCUUCCCUUCUCCCUGGCAGAAAAAUAAAGCCAUCUCUCUCUUCCUCCAAAAUCCCUGUCUCCAUAUUUCUGUUCAGCCUUGGUGCACAGGGAAGCCGAUAUUUCGGCAACACCUUUUCCUAUUUUUGCCCAUUUUCUCAAUGAUGUGUAAGAUAAAAAAUUCCUGUGUUAAGA